rnacentral:rRNA from 1 species
GACGAACGCUGGCGGCGUGCUUAACACAUGCAAGUCGAGCGGAGCGGCGAACGGGUGAGUAACGCGUGAGUAACUGCCCCCCUCUCUGGGAUAACAGUUGGAAACGGCUGCUAAUACCGGAUAGUGGGGGAUGACUCGCGUCCUAUCCGCUUGUUGGUGGGGUAGUGGCCUACCAAGGCGACGACGGGUAGCCGGCCUGAGAGGGCGACCGGCCACAUUGGGCUGAGAUACGGCCCAAACUCCGAUGGGAGGCAGGAGUGGGGAGUAUUGCACAAUGGGGGAAACCCAGAUGCAGAAACGCCGCGGGCGGGAUGAUGGGCUUCGGGUUGUAAACAGAGGUCAGACAUGACGCGGUAGUGGAAGAAGAAGCACCGGCUAACUACGUGCCAGCAGCCGCGGUAAUUC